rnacentral:rRNA from 1 species
CCUACGGGUGGCAGCAGUGGGGAAUAUUGCACAAUGGGGGAAACCCUGAUGCAGCAACGCCGCGUGAGUGAAGAAGGUUUUCGGAUCGUAAAGCUCUGUUAGCAGGGAAGAGGGAGGACGGUACCUGCAGAUGAAGACACGGCUAACUACGUGCCAGCAGCCGCGGUAAAACGUAGUUGGCAAGCGUUGGUCGGAAUAACUGGGCGUAAAGGAUGCGGAGGCGGUUAAACAAGUUAUAUGUUAAAUAGAUAGGCUUAAACUGUAGUAAGAUUAUGAAACUGUUUAACUAGAGUGCAAGAGAGGUGAGUGGAAUUCCAAGUGUAGCGGUGAAAUGCGUAGAGAUUAGGAGGAACACCAGUGGCGAAGGCGACUUACUGGACUGUAACUGACGCUGAGGCAUGAGAGCAUGGGGAGCAAACAGGAUUAGAUACCCUGGUAGUC